GGGGGGCGGGGCUCCGCGGGGCGCGGGCGGGCGCGGCAUCCCGGACCGGAUCUCUGCGGAGCGGAGCCAGUGGCCGAACGAGCGCGCGCCCCCUCCCGCCGGCGCUCCCGGGGCGAGCCGGGGAGGUGUCCACGCCGGCCGGCGCGCUGCCCUAACCCCGCCGCCGCCUCCGGCCCCAGCUGCCGCCUCGUCCUGGAGGGGUCGCGGAGGGGAACCCCCGAAAGUCUCCCUGGAAAGUUUUGCUCCAGGCUCCCUGGGGACAGGAACCAGUGACCUCAGGAGUCUCUGGGCCGGACUCGCUUCCUCCCUCGGCCCACCCUAAACAGAGGUCACACUCACUCGAAUGAACGGUUUUCGAACUGUAAUUGAAGUUUGUCAAAAGAUGCUUGUGAUCCCUAAUGCCCCGUGUGUCUUUCUAGAGUCAUUUAUUCACUCAACAAACAGCCAGCUCAAAUCCCGCGGCCGCACUCUGGGCACCAGCCACCGCCUCGCCCUUCAAACCGCUGACCGGCUGGCUCAUGGGGAGCCAGAUGCCGGGCCAGUGGGGCAUCGGGGCUUGGAUCCUUUGGUGCUCCAGUGUGCUGAUCAGGCCUUCCCCCUUCAGCCGGUCCGGUCCGAGCAAGGGAUUUACAUGCAACCUCCAAGUUUCUUUCUUCUGGCUCAUCUGAGGGGACUUCUUGCAUUUUAAUGCCAGGUCUGUUUGAGGACAAGUGGUCCAUGUGUACCUCCAGGCCCUUCUGGACUAUGACACAUGAAGACUUACGCACAACCUAAGCUAUAGGAAUCUUUUCCCGAGGACCAAGAACCUGCGUGUGCUAACACCAGGAGCUCACAGGGCUGACGCCGGGUGACCUUGCUAAGUCCAGAACCCCAUCCUUUGCAAUUCCUCCCUCCAACAGCCAGCUGCUCGAUAUACUGACAGAGUCAGCAGAGGGCACAAGGAAAGGGCCAGUAAGGACCACUAAAGACAGUGGGUUCUUCUUGUUCUGUCCUGGUCUAGAGGGCAUGCUGAACCUGGUCCAGAAAGCACACACUCAAGAAAGGAGCAAUGAACGGCUGGCCGGGGAGAGCCUUGUCAACCUUUGGGAUCCAAGAUACGCAGGCUCUUACCCUGUUAGAAGCCUCUGGAGCUGGCUGCGGAAACAGGAAGGAACAGAAGUUAACUCCAAGGCACUAAACCAUCGACAAGUAGGCCGAAUUGGGAGGUGACCAUUAAGGCUGUGUUAGAAAGAGGCAGUGAGCUAUCUGGAGAACGAGCUCAUUGAAAAAAAAAAAAAAAAAGAAAGAAAAGACAAAACAUGGGAACACAUUAUUUCUCCAAGAAGAUACACCAAUCACAGACAAGCACAGGAAAAGAUGCUCAACUUCAUUGUUUGUUAGGAGCCAGUUAAAAAGACAAGAUAUUACUGGACACCUAUUAAAAUUACUUAAAGGAAAUGAUGAAACCAUCUGUCGUUGCCAACGAGGAGGGGCGGCAGGGCCCCCGACAUAGCAGGUGUUUGAGAAAAUGGUCUGGCAGGUUCUCGUGCGGGUCAGUAGACUGACCCGGUGGUUGGCAGUCCCAUCGCUAGGCUUUAACCCAAGUGAAACAAAACUUGUGUUGACACGAGGACCUGUACACAAAUACUCACCACCGAGCACUGGAAACACCCCAACCGCCCAGAUGAACCUCAGCCGGGAAAGGGGUAAACAAACCGCCGUACAGUCACGUGAUGGGCUUCGCGGCCCCAGGAAAAGGAGCAAAGUGUGGAACGACACGGAGGAACCCCCCCCAAUGCCCUGCGUGUGCUUUCUCUUAUAAGACAUUCUGGGCGAAGUACAACUCGAGAAAUGGAAGCAGAGCUUGUGUUUACAGACCCCCGUCAAGGAUUAAGAACCAGGUUGCCCAAUUCAGAAGCCACAAGCCACGACUGGCUGUCUAUGUAUAUUCUAAUUAAAAUGAAGGAAAAUGAAACUUUCCGUUCCUCGGUGGGCAUGGGCCCUGUGUCCAGUGUGGGAUCUGGACAGCUGCGUGGCUGCUGUGCUGAUUGAUGCAGAUAAAGAACAUUCCCAUCAUUGCAGAGAGUUCUACUGGCUGCUCCGAGGGUGGGGUGAGGCUGGGCUGCUGGCUUCUGGUUGCUCCUCUCUUUAUCUUCCAAAGUCCGGAUUCAUGCCCUGCGCAGAGAAGCUGCACAAAACCCACAAAGAAGGGACGGUGGGGGGCCCCAGCAGCUCUGAGGGGUUUUCAACUUGGUCUUGGGGCAGAUACGUGCAAAGAAGCAGAGCAGAGCCCCAGCAUGAGACAGGAGGCUGAAGGAAACUUCAGCCCCGAAGCUGGCUGGUGGGGCCGAGGAGGAGAAGCCUCCGAGUCUGGAAGCUGCUGGUCCACACCAGCCUCAUGGAGGGGUGGGAACUCUCUUAACAUCUGUGGAAUGCCUGGGGAACCCAGACCACUGUCUUCUCAUCCUUUUCCUGUCUGCCGAGUGUCUCUUCCUGCUGCUGCCGUAUCCUCCUGGGAUCCUUCCUGCGGCCCCGGGGCUGCUUCCUGCCUCUUUGCUGAGUUCCGAGGGCCUCCCGUCACGCAGCCAAGGGACCUCAGACCCUUACUGGACAGGACUGCAAAAGACAGCCAGAGAGGACAGAGAGCGCGAGAGACAGAACAGUCCUCCAUCGGAGCCCUGCCUUGCGGGUUUGAGACCACAGCCCAAGAACCCAACAGAUGUGAGCCCUGCUGCGUGCAGAGCUCCCUGGGAGCAGGCUGACUUGUUUUUCUUUUACAGCCUACCACCCUGUCCUUCCUGAAACACCAGUUUGGGAAAAGCUGUGUCUGACUUCGGCAACACAGGAGGAGACCAAGGCUGGGGCGGAAAGUUCUCUUGGCAGGAUACACUGGUGCUGGCACUUGGGAAAAGGGGCAGGCUGGGUGUGACUCAUCAACUGCUGUGUGAUCACUGGCUGCCACAGGCCGUGGCUUCCGUCAGAAACACACAUGUCACCUCCUAGUUUCUGUAGGUCAGGGACUGGGGAAUGAUUUAGCCAGGCGGCUCUGGCUUGAGGGUCUCUGUCAAGAUGUUGCUCCCCAGCUGGGGGACCUCCCCACAGGCGGGGUGAGGGCAGGGUGGCUGGCUUCCCUUAGGAGGACGCAUCCAAGAGAGAGCAGAGGGAGGGCUGCACGGUCUCUGUAUGACCCUCAAAAGCCCCACCCUGCCACGUCUACAACAUCCCCGUGGUUACAAGGGCAGGCCAGCACCCCCCAGGGAGCGCUCUGGACGGACUGCAAGAGCACUGCACGAUGGACAUGCCCGGGGUAGAUAUUUUCUUCUGAUCUUCACCAUGAAGACCUGAUGGGGUGGGGAAACUCAUGAAAGUCUCAGGACCCCCCCAGGAUUGAGACUUUUCAACUCCCAGACGUGUCCAGUGUCGUCGAGGGGUGGCUUUCCUGACCCCUGCGGGUUCCUCCGCUGCUUCCUGUUCUCGGGCUUGUGCUCUGGGCAGCUGUGACUCUCUGCGUCCACUGCCUGUCUCCUGGUGUGUGGACAGAGGUCUGCCCUGUGGCCUCGCUUCUCGGAGGGGUCUGAGAAGAGCCGUUCAUUUCCCACGUGCUCGCCUUUCUCGCGCAGUGUGGACGGAACCAUGACGUCUAUGGCCCUGGCACGCGGGACUGGGAGGGGGAAGUGAGGAUAAGUGAUGGUUCAGCAGCUCUGUUUCUGCUUCUCAGCAAAGGUUUGAGUGUCCACCCCCACCGCAGACGGCUCAAUCCCCUAAGAGCUCGAGUGCUAGCUCUUCUGGAGAGAGGUCUGAAGGGCCCCGUGGAUCACCUCUGCACCCGGUGAACGGGGUCCCCCCAGCUUCCCCGCCUCAGGUCAGAGCCCGGACAGGGAAGCACUAUGGCAUGGCGAUGCGGUGGCCAUUCUAAGGGUUCGCGAUCCCGGACACGUUCAGGAAUGCGUGAGGGACAGCUUCCAGCCCCUGAGUUUCCAACAUGCAGCCACCGGUCCCAUGCAGCCACUGAGCGUUUGAAAUGUGGCUGGUCCAGAGGUAUGCUGAAAGUGUCAAGUACACUAGACAACGGAUUUCAAAGAUUUAGUUACAAAAAAGGCAACAUAUGAUUAAUACAUUCAUAGUUUUUAUAUGGGUUACAGUUUGAAAUGAUAAUAUUUGGGGCAUAUUUG